UCCUAUCGUAGGGGAGGCAGCAGUAAGGAAUAUUGGUCAAUGGGCGGAAGCCUGAACCAGCCAUGCCGCGUGCAGGAUGACUGCCCUAUGGGUUGUAAACUGCUUUUGUCCAGGAAUAAACCUAGAUACGUGUAUCUAGUGAAAUUC
rnacentral:rRNA from 1 species